AAAACCUUAAGGCUGCUGUUAUGUGGGAACUAUCAUCUUGAUUUUCCAACACUUGCUUGUUUCUGGAGGAGCAUGAGGAGAAUGGAGGAGCACUGAGUACCAUAGCCAUAACUCUACAUAAUGAAGCUGUGGGUGUGAAUAUUAAAACAGAGGUUUGUGAUGGGUACCUAAUAGUAGGAAACUACCAAGUCCAUAUUUAAGCACCUCAGUAAGUGGCCUUAUUUCACUUUUUAAAGUGCUGAGGAUCCAGCAGAUUGAGGCUGCUUAUUUUGGUGCCUAAGGCCUUGUCUACACUGCAGAGUUUUGUCGACACAAGUUAUGCCAACAUACAGCCACCACUAAUUAAAUCACUGUUUCAUUUCUACGCUGUUCCUUGUGUCAGCAGAGCACAUCCACACUAGCAGCUCUUGCAUCAACACAGAAGUACA